UUAUGAGAAAAUCCUAAUGAUAUUCGCGCACUACAAUAGUGGAGUUUAUGUUGGCUUGCAACAGAGUUAUUUCCAACAUUCUUGCGAGGCUGCAAGAGGAAACUCAUCAGGUUGUAAGAGGCAGAUCCCAAUCCUGAACUAAACUUGGUACAAAAACUUAUCCAUAUCUCUAUUGACCGAAAAGAAGAACAAAAAUAUACAGGCC
rnacentral:lncRNA from 1 species